CCCCUAUUCCCCUUUGGUUGCAGCCGCCCCCCCCCCCUUCCCUAUUCCCCUUUGUGGCCGCCACCCCCCCCCCUCUCUCCCUCUCCUUCUCCCCCCAAGUGAUUGCAGCACCCCCCCCCCAACCCUAGCCGCCCCCCCUCCUCUCCAUGGUGCAUCCUCCCCGCUUGGUACCCCGUCGUGUGGGUGCGAGUCUUCCAUUGGAGUUUGGAGGGAGGAAGAAGGAAGAAUGGAAGGAGGAAAGGAGGAACCCAAGGUGGUGGACUUCCGGAUCGUACUUAGGGAUUUGCCCGAACUUCCGGUAAAGGCAAGUAAAUAUAGUGGUGGUUGCUACCGUUUGGUUUGCAUCCUAUUCCCUGUCAUUGAGUAUGCUUAAGUUUUUAAUUAUGUUAAUCAUUGAAUUCUAUGAUGAAGUUUAUUUGUUUGGAAGUAUUAAUUCUCAAUUGUCUAAUAUUGUGGAUGAUCAUAAUUUGGUUAUGAUAUAUGUGGUUGAUUCCCAUCUUGGAUGAAGUUGAAGUAUCUUUUUGAAUCACGUUAUAUGAAGUGUUGUAGGCAUGACAUGCACAUCGCAUCAUCCAUCUUGCAUUUUGAAGUUAUGUCGUGAUCUUAUGGUCCGACCGUACCGGUACAUUUUUAGCAUCGUACGUUGCCCGAGGAGGGGUACGAUGCAGCUUCAUAUCCUUAGAGGUAUGAAGGCAGAAGUCAUCCUUGCAUUUGCAGACAUUUGCAUUCAUGAGGAAUAUAUGAAGUGUGACAUUACUAUGUUACUAUUGUGGUUUUCUACCUGCGAGGUGUGGUAACUAGGUGUGUUGUACGUUGUAUACGUGAUGCACCUUGGUAAUAAGAAGGUUGUGGAAUCAGGUGGUGGUAAAACAAUGUUCUUAUGUGGUUGAAUAGUUUGAUAUUAUUUUACUUGCUGAGAUGUGUCAUCUCACUCUUGCAUUACUCAAUGCAGGUACUUGAUACAUGUUGGGAAUGAGGGGAGUAGCAGCACGUCCACUUACACUCUCACAAUAACGCUGCCCAGGCGCAGCCAUGAUUUAAUUAGAAACUUAUUGUCAAAGGAAGUUUGUUUUUUAUAUAGUCGUGCGCACUGGUUAAUUCAGUUCAGGUCGUACGUUUAUCUUUCCUUGCUAGCUGAUUAAUAAUACUUAGUAUGUUUUUGUCAUGAUAUAUGUUUAUACCCUGUUGCCCCCUUAUUUAUGCAAUCUUGCAAAGGGGAUGCUGCCGAAAUUUUAUAUAUGGACGUCAGAAGUGUAGUUCAGUAGCAUUCUGGGUUGUUUGUGGAACCCGGGGUGUUACAGCGGGAUCCACCUGGCAGAGAGAAGAAGCGGGCGCGCGUGGGGCUGGCUGGGCUGAAUGGGCCGAAAGGCCGGGGAAGGGGGCGGCUGGGCUUCUUUCUGUUUUUCUUUUAUACUGAAUUUUCUAAUCCCUUUUUCUUUUAUUUUAUCUUUUGGAUUCAAAUUUAAACAUGCCACAAAUUCAAACUUAAAUAUUCCAAACAUGUGCAUCAAACAAAAGAAACAUCUAGGCUCAGCAUGAUGCAACAUUUCAUGUCUCCCCUAGGUUUUAAUAUUCUAAAAAAGUACACCUCUCUCAUAAAUACCUAGAAUUCUAUUAAAAGGAAGAGAAAGGAAAAUCUAUAGAGGUGAGAAAAGGAGUAACACCUAAAUUUGGUAGAUAUUAGAGAAGAAAUUUAAUACCCCCCAAUUCAGGGUGUUACAAGAACUUUCUUUUAGGGAGAGUAAUUCUUUUUGAGAGGGCAAGUGUUUAAAUUGCUUCCUAUAUGCUUUAUCAUGUCUUCCUUUUUGGUGUUUGAAUCAAGGGGAAAUGUUUAUGGACCAAAGCAACCAAAGUGCAUCAAAUACCAAAAACUACCCAUUUUAAAUUUCUUGAUCCUUUCAAUUGGUUAUCUAUGUUGGUUUCGGUCCAAAAAUAGGAAAUAUGUGGAUUAUGUAGUUAGGGGAGGCUUAAGUCCAUAAUCACACAUUAGUGGACUAGUUGCAUAUGCAAGAAUAUGCUUUAUUUAUAAAUGACCUCAUAAUUGUCAAUUUGGUAUCUUAUACAUCUUGCUUAUGCAUAUGCAUCCAUACAAAGUAGAGUGCAUAUUCCAAUUUUCUAUUUAAUAUUUUCUUGCUUUGGUUGUGUUGUCAUCUGAGGAGAUUUUAAGGAAAAAGAACCCCGACCCAUUUGAUUAAGGGAUUUUGGUGUUUGAUGAACAACAUAACUAGUGAACUAAUGUUUUCCAAGUGGAUGUGUUUUAUAGUUCAAAGGAUGAGAAUAUAUUUUGGACUAAGGUAAUGAUGAUGCAACACCUCAAUGAAGACAUUAUAAGACUUUUAUUGAAUAUAUACAAGUAUCAAGCAAAGUCCAAGACAUGGAGAAGAAAUAGCCACGGGUGGACGGUCUGCCCUCCCUAGGCAGAUGCUUUGGAGGGUCACGGAUGGUUUGGUGCACAGAACGAACAGUCUGGUACACCAACCGCUAGUCACUAGUGAUGUUGUAUUUGAUGAGACUAAUGGCUCUCCAAGAGAGCAAGUAUUUACUAUAUUAAAGCACCGGUUUCAACGGUCGUCCAGCGUCAAAAUUUUUCAAAACACCCCUACAUUUCUUUAGAAUCAACCUGCACUCCUAUAAUCUCAUCUCUACUACUAUAAUAGGAGAGUUUAUGUAAAAAUAAGUUAAAAUUAUGUAUAAGAGAGUGUUUGAACCUUGGUUGUUGGCUCCACAUUCACACCCACAUAAUCAAUAGAAAGCAUAUAUUUUUUGAUUUAUUAAAACAAAAUUUAUCAUAUGUCAUAUAUAUAAAAACUGUAGCAAUGCAUGGGCAUAUGACUAGUUGAUCUUAAUGAUAUAGAUGAUGAUGAGGUUCCAAUGGACGCGCCAAGGAACAUGGGGAUUAGAGAUGUGCGACCGUAGGAACCACACAAACAAGACCAACUUUCUUUCUCAACAAUGGUGCAACCCCCUUCUCCAGAUGAGGAAUAGGUACGUCAAGAUACUAGCAACGAUCAAGGAGGAGCACAUGAAGAAGAAGACAAGGAGGAAGAAGAUGUUCCACAGGCACCUCCACCGCGUGUCUGAGCCACCAUCCGAUGAACAUGAUCCUAGGUGGUAUCAACAAGCGAGUAAUUACUAGAUCUCGUGUUGCUAAUUUUUAUGAGCAUUACUCCUUUGUAUCUUCUAUUGAGCCUUUCAGGGUUGAAGAAGCUUUGAAGGAUACGAAUCGCGUGAUGGCCAUGCAGGAAGAGCUCAACAAAUUCAAGAGAAAUGAAGUUUGGGGCUUGGUGCCGCGUGCAAAGAAAAAUAUUGUGGGAACCAAAAAAAGAUGACUAUGGAGUGGUGACAAGGAACAAGGCUCGACUUGUGGCAAAAGGUUAUGUCCAUGUUGCAGAUUUGAACUUUUAGGAGACUUUUGCUCCUGUAGCUAGGUUAGAGUCAAUUCGCAUUUUAUUGGCCUAUGUUGUUUCACCAUUAUUUUAAGCUUUUUCAAAUGGAUGUAAAGAGUGCCUUCCUCAAUGGACCAAUCAACGAGGAAGUGUAUGUGGAGCAGCUACAUGGCUUUGAGUAUGAUAUGUAUCUCAACCAUGUGUAUAAGCUCUCUAGGGCCCUCUAUGGGCUUAAGGAAGCACAAAGAAUUUCUAACUUCUAAUUCAUUCAAGGUUGAGAAA